UGUUUUGUGGCUUAGUUGGUUAAAGCACCAGACUAGCGAUACGGAGUCGUGGGUUUGAGUCCCACCAAAACAA
rnacentral:tRNA from 1 species